CAGUCCACCACUCACCACCGCCGCCAAAGCCAGUCCACCACCACCCACCGCCUCCUCCUGCCCCGCAUCCGCAUCCAAUGUGCCCCCCGCCGCCGCCCUGUGCCUGUCCGCCACCAGCAUUGCCACCGCCGCCACCCUAUUACCCCGGCACAUUGCCACCUGUGUCCCGUGCAGAAUAUGGAUCACCACCACCGCCACCCUAUAACCCCAACCCAUUGCCACCCGUCACCUGGGCAGAAUAUGGAUCACCGCCACCGCCUUCACGGCAGUGAUACACAUAGAUUCUCCAAAAAAACAUCGUCUGAAGGAAGACAUGGUUUUGCUCUCCCUCCUUACCUCUGUCCAUGGAUAGCAAGCUCACCAAAUUUACGUGGUCAUUGUCAUGCUUAGCUGCUAGUGUUCUUGAUUGAUGGCUACCGGCGUGAAGAGUUAGUUGUAAGGUGGGCGGAAUUUUCUGGAUUAUGAUUUGUCGCCUGCGCAUCGAGACGAUUUGUGUUGCGGUGUUGAAAGGGAUUGGCGAAUAGGCCACAGAUUGAAGGCAAAUUGGGUUGUGAAUAAUAAGAGUUCGAGAGGGACAGAAGAGGAUUUGUGAGUGAGUGAGUGGAUUGUAGGUGCAGCAGGGAUAUAGUAUGCGGGGUGUAUAGAGAGAAGCAUGAGUUCAGUUCAAUUUAGUUAAAUUCAGUCAGACAUAAGUUUAGAACAAGAGAUUCAGAGUGUUAUUUCUUCCUUUUGUAUCCCAGUUACUUCUUGGUUAUUCGAUUAUUAUAUUAUUUAGUCAGCAUUUUUUUAGCUUUCUUCUUUUGUUAAGUGUUCUAGUCCAAUCACUUUGACGAAUUUUGUCAUGUCUUUCCUGUUCCGCUGAUGUGUUUUGUGAUGGUACUUGUUUCUUGUGGAUCACUGCUGCAGGUGACUUGCACUUUGCCAGAGUAGCAAGAUUGGAAACAUAUUCUGCUCUGAAUUAUUAGGGGAAAACACCUGCUGUUAUGGUUGCACUAUGAGGAUUUAGCCUGUGCCAUCGAACUUCAUCCGGAAAAUUAUUCUAGAAUUAGUCUAAUACGCCUCUGUAUCAAAAUUCUAGAAUCCUUCUAAUACUCCCUCUGUAUCAGAAUGUAAGAAGUUUUUUG
rnacentral:lncRNA from 1 species